CUGAGUACUACACUCUCUACCCUUUGUGAACUAUUAUACCUGUUGCUUCGGCGGCGCCCGCAAGGGUGCCCGCCGGUCUCAUCAGAAUCUCUGUUUUCGAACCCGACGAUACUUCUGAGUGUUCUUAGCGAACUGUCAA
rnacentral:misc_RNA from 1 species